rnacentral:tRNA from 1 species
GCCCCCAUCGUCUAGUGGCCUAGGACGGGGCCCUCUCAAGGCCCAAACCGGGGUUCGAGUCCCCGUGGGGGCA